AAUUUUUCACCUAACCCUUGAAACAACGCUCCUAUAUAAGCAACCCGUAUUCUUCCAUUCCAUUCAUCAACAGAACAGCCCAUUCUCCACUCCUUCCCUAUUCUUCCCAUGGCGUGCUCCUCAUGCCUCUCUCUCCCCCUUCUCUUCUUGCUCAUGCUAUCCUUCACCCAGGUGACCGUUGCUGGACGUCAAGUUCCUGCUACCACUGACAAAAAACAAACCGAGUGCCUCGAUCAUGAAGGUACUGUUUUAAUUCCUGGUGUCGGACGCUACAUGAUUGGCAGCCAAGAGCAACCUGAGAUUGUCGGUUUAGACCACAGCGGACCAGCAGCUGCCAAUGGUCGGUACAUCCCAGGAGCUGAUGACACUUUUGUUCCAAACCCUGGUUUUGAGGUUCCUAAUCCCUUUCAUCGAUCAGUUCCUUGAACUAGUCCUAUCCCAUCUCACCUUCUGUGGCAUUAUCCGUCCGUUAUUGGUGGUAUUUGGUGCUGUAGUAUUUUCUGAUAAGCUGUAGAAGGAAUGUCUAGUGGUAGGAUGCUUGGUUUGAAUAAGGAGUUCGCUUCAGUGAUUCUACUGGAGAUCCUUCCAGUGUCAGCAUUGUCUUAGAUUGUACUUGCAGUAAAUUGGUGUAGACCAUAGACUGGUCAUUAAUUUGGAAUGUGCUGUAGUAGUUCUUAAACUAGAUGUGUAAGAGAUAAAUAAAAGAGACGGCACCUUUUCAGCCAAAAAAGAGAGAGAGUUGGUACUUCCCCCGACUUUGAGUUUCUGCUCUCAGUUUCACUAUAAAUGUAUGAGUGAUUUCCCCAGGUCAAAAAUUUUCAGCUCUUUUUUUUUUCUUCUUCUUCAGAGAGAGUCGAGGAAAAGAGAAAUUGUACCCUACACUACAUGCACCACCUGGCUGUGCAGCGAUAAUCACAGUUGCUAAUUUCUAUAGCGGUGCACCGACACGAGCAGUUGAUGAAUGGGGCCUACAUGAAUGAGUAGUUGUGAUUUGCUGCAUAUAUAGCCACGUGAUGCAUGCAGCGUAUAACAUAAUUUUGUUGAAGAAAAACUUUCAGCAUUUAAAUGGAAUUUGCCUGGCCAUACUAUUUUAGCACUGAAUCGGGUUUAGGUCCAACCAAGCGGAUUGGUCAUAACCUUUCAACCUUAUAUGAGACCCAUUCCAGAUUACCUGUAACAGAAAUGACUGGAGUAAACUUUUAUUCCUUGUUUAUGUUUGAUUAUGCCCCCGCAUUAAAACUCUUGCAGCUUUACACUAUGAGGUCAUUGCAGCUCAACUGUAAUAGAUAUGACUUGAGUUUCUUGCACAUUAUGGCCAACCUCAUAUGUUUCUGUUUCAGCUUGAGUAUGCUUUGCUAUGACCCCAUGUUGAAGCAGUUAGGAGUAAUUCCUAUGGAGCAAAAAAGGGGAAAAGAAAAAAAAAGAGCCAUUUAACAUCAUAGACCAAGCAAAAACAAGAAAAAGAAAAAAGAAAAAUAUCAAUAUUGAGAUGCCAAUGAUUACUUACUCUGUACUGAGAAAGUCACAAAAGUAUAAUUGCCAUUAUCCACAUUCAGAUAACGUUUCUUUUUCCACCCGCAACCAAAAAACAUAGAUUUGGAAGAUUAUAGAAGAGUACUUUGCGAGCAAUUCAUGGAGCUGAAGUCGGAUAUAAUUAUGAGCGUCUUUAAGUUGUUGGCAAACUAGGACCGAUAAAUUUCGGUUGAAAGAAUUGAAGACUAUUUAAUUCCUAAUUCAUAGCAUGUGAAAGCACAUCCGGUUCACGGUACCGAAGCCGCUUACUUUUUAAAUUUACGGUAUGCGAGAGCAAUAUACCUUGUUCUCCAGUAAGUAUUCACUCCCGAGAGGGUACCCACACCGACAAACACCUAGAACAUGAGAGAUACCAAGUCACCAGUACAAGAAGUCUUUUAAUGCACCGCCUCUUUCCCAUCCAACGCUAGGAAAGUUUCCCUUAUAUAAGGAACCUAAAUUCCAGCAAUUCCACCAGAAAACCAAUAGCACUCUCCACUC
rnacentral:lncRNA from 1 species